AGAGGGCGUGAAACUGCAUAGAAGGAAACGUGAGGUGCUGUUUUGGCUGUCAGUGUUCAGCUUUAGGGAUUAACGUCUCUGGAGUGCAUUCACUGUCAGUGGCAUUGGAACUGAUGGAAGUGGAGUUUGAUUUUGGUUUUGGUCGCUGCCUUGUGUAGUGGUCGAAUUUUUAUCAAGCUGCCUAUUUUAUUGGAAUGUUAGCAUUUAAUGAGCCUUUUGGGGCUAAUUAUUUUGGUCGUGUUUUGAUGUGCAUCGUCUUUUCACGAUUAGAAUAUUUCGUCUUUUUAUAGCCACGGUGUUUCCAGUGUAAAACACAGUUUACCUCUCGACCCGUCUUGAAACACGGACCAAGGAGUCUAACAUGUGCGCGAGUCAAUGGGUUUGAAACUCAGUGGCACAAUGAAAGUGAAUGUUGGCUCUGUCAACUGAUAUACGAUCUGAAGAGAUUCAGUGCAGUGUAGUCCCAUCCGUACUGUUUUCAGUGGGGUGGAGAAAGAGCGUAUUUGUUGGGACCCGAAAGAUGGUGAACUAUGCCUGAACAGG
rnacentral:rRNA from 1 species